CCCUUAGAUGUCCUGGGCCGCACGCGCGCUACACUGACGCCUACAGCGAGUACUUCCCAGCCCCGAGAGGUGGCUGGUAAUCAGCAAUAGGCGUCGUGAUGGGGAUAGAUCUUUGGAAUUAUGGAUCUUGAACGAGGAAUGCCUAGUAAGCGCAGGUCAUUAGCCUGCGCUGAUUAAGUCCCUGCCCUUUGUACACACCGCCCGUCGCUCCUACCGAUUUCGAGUGGUCCGGUGAAUCUUUCGGACUGCGCGCGGCCUCGUGCCGUGUCGCGGAAAGUCAGGUAAACCUUAUCACUUAGAGGAAGGAGAAGUCGUAACA
rnacentral:rRNA from 1 species